GAUCCUGCCAGUAGUCAUAUGCUUGUCUCAAAGAUUAAGCCAUGCAUGUCUCAGUACAAACCAAAUUAAGGUGAAACCGCGAAAGGCUCAUUAAAUCAGUUAUGGUUUCUUAGAUCGUACCCACAUUUACUUGGAUAACUGUGGUAAUUCUAGAGCUAAUACAUGCAAACAGAGCCCCGACCGGAGACGGAAGGGGUGCUUUUAUUAGAUCAAAACCAAUCGGCGGCAGUGGCGCUUCGGCGUUGCUGUUCGUCGCACUGUUUGGUGACUCUGAAUAACUUUUGGCUGAUCGCACGGUCUCGCACCGGCGACGCAUCUUUCAAAUGUCUGCCUUAUCAACUGUCGAUGGUAGGUUCUGCGCCUACCAUGGUUGUAACGGGUAACGGGGAAUCAGGGUUCGAUUCCGGAGAGGGAGCCUGAGAAACGGCUACCACAUCCAAGGAAGGCAGCAGGCGCGCAAAUUACCCACUCCCAGCACGGGGAGGUAGUGACGAAAAAUAACGAUACGGGACUCAUCCGAGGCCCCGUAAUCGGAAUGAGUACACUUUAAAUCCUUUAACAAUGAACCAUUGGAGGGUAAGUCUGGUGCCAGCAGCCGCGGUAAUUCCAGCUCCAAUAGCGUAUAU
rnacentral:rRNA from 1 species